AUUCAAGGCGUAGCGGUGAAAUGCGUAGAGGUCUUGAGGAACAUCAGUGGCGAAGGCGACUAACUGGCACUACACUGACGCUGAGGUACGAAAGCGUGGGGAGCGAACAGGAUUAGAUACCCUGGUAGUCCACGCCCUAAACGAUGAGGACUGGCUGUUGGCGCUAUAGACGCGUCGGUAGCGAAGCUAACGCGUUAAGUUCUCCGCCUGGGGAGUACGGCCGCAAGGCUGAAACUCAAAGGAAUUGACGGGGGCCCGCACAAGCGGUGGAGCAUGUGGUUUAAUUCGAUGAUACGCGAGGAACCUUACCUGGGCUUAAAUGCAGUUUGACCGAUCUGGAAACGGAUCUUCUCUUCGGAGCAAAUUACAAGGUGCUGCAUGGUUGUCGUCAGCUCGUGCCGUGAGGUGUCGGGUUAAGUCCCAUAACGAGCGCAACCCCUAUCGUUAGUUGCUAGCAGGUAAUGCUGAGGACUCUAGCGAGACUGCCACCGUAAGGUGAGAGGAAGGUGGGGAUGACGUCAAAUCAGCACGGCCCUUACGUCCAGGGCUACACACGUGUUACAAUGGCUAGUACAAAGGGCAGCUACCUGGUGACAGGAUGCUAAUCUCAAAAGCUAGUCUCAGUUCGGAUCGGAGUCUGCAACUCGACUCCGUGAAGUUGGAUUCGCUAGUAAUCGUAUAUCAGCAAUGAUACGAUGAAUACGUUCCCGGGCCUUGUACACUCCGCCC
rnacentral:rRNA from 1 species